GCCUUCUUAGUGUAAUGGUUAGCUCACUCGGCGCGUAUCGAGAAGUCCGAGGUUUGAGUCCCGGCGAAGGCA
rnacentral:tRNA from 1 species